UACGAAGGGGGCUAGCGUUGUUCGGAUUUACUGGGCGUAAAGCGCACGUAGGCGGAUCGUUAAGUCGGGGGUGAAAUCCUGGAGCUCAACUCCAGAACUGCCUUCGAUACUGGCGAUCUUGAGUCCGGAAGAGGUGAGUGGAACUCCUAGUGUAGAGGUGGAAUUCGUAGAUAUUCGCAAGAACACCAGUGGCGAAGGCGGCUCACUGGCCCGGUACUGACGCUGAGGUGCGAAAGCGUGGGGAGCAAACAGG
rnacentral:rRNA from 1 species